rnacentral:lncRNA from 1 species
GGAAAUGAGCAGGUGCUAGAGCAGUGGUGAGAAUAUCUCCCAUCAGGGAGCCCCAUGGUCAGGCAGAGACCAGAAUGGGAGAAUGUUCCUCAUCUUCCAGGAACAACAGUAAGCCCAUGUGAUGGAAGCCAGCUGAGAGACAGAGAAACAAUGUGAGAUCCAAGAAAUUAUGGGGUUUUCCCUAAAAGCUGUGCGUGGAAGGUUUGCCAGCAAAUUGGUAGAUCUACCUGACUUGGACAAGGCAUCACAAAUGCCUAGAAAUUCUGGAUAAAUUCUUAUAAAAGAUAUUUGGUAAUCCCUAAUCAAGUUAAAAGAAAGAGGAGGAAGUCAUAAGAUGAGAGAAAUUAAGAGAAAAAUCUAGGCCAGAACAAUAAGUAGGAGCGGUGAGGCCCAGUGAGCCCCACGUACAGGCCCUGGGCCAAGGGCUGGCAUAUUGCCCGUGUGGCGCGGGUGGGAUGAGCAGGACCCACUGAAGGGGGGCUGGAGCGGAUCUUCCUGCAUAGAGCCCAGAGCCUUCAGGGGCUACUCCUUCGGAAAAACCUCUCUAGCUACUCUCUAGGGAAGCAGCAAGGAAGUUACACUUGG